GAUGAACGCUGGCGGCGUGCCUAAUACAUGCAAGUCGAGCGAACAGACGAGGAGCUUGCUCCUUUGACGUUAGCGGCGGACGGGUGAGUAACACGUGGAUAACCUACCUAUAAGACUGGGAUAACUUCGGGAAACCGGAGCUAAUACCGGAUAACAUGUUGAACCGCAUGGUUCAACAGUGAAAGACGGUCUUGCUGUCACUUAUAGAUGGAUCCGCGCCGCAUUAGCUAGUUGGUAAGGUAACGGCUUACCAAGGCAACGAUGCGUAGCCGACCUGAGAGAGUGAUCGGCCACACUGGAACUGAGCCACGGUCCAGACUCCUACGGGAGGCAGCAGUAGGGAAUCUUCCGCAAUGGGCGAAAGCCUGACGGAGCAACGCCGCGUGAGUGAAGAAGGUCUUCGGAUCGUAAAACUCUGUUAUUAGGGAAGAACAAAUGUGUAAGUAACUAUGCACGUCUUGACGGUACCUAAUCAGAAAGCCACGGCUAACUACGUG
rnacentral:rRNA from 1 species